UACGGAGGGUGCAAGCGUUAUCCGGAUUCACUGGGUUUAAAGGGUGCGUAGGUGGGUUGGUAAGUCCGUGGUGAAAUCCCCGAGCUUAACUUGGGAACUGCCAUGGAUACUAUUAAUCUUGAAUGUCGUGGAGAUGAGCGGAAUAUGUCAUGUAGCGGUGAAAUGCUUAGAUAUGACAUAGAGCACCAAUUGCGAAGGCAGCUCGUUACGCGAAUAUUGACACUGAUGCACGAAAGCGUGGGGAUCAAACAGG
rnacentral:rRNA from 1 species